UACGGAGGGAGCUAGCGUUGUUCGGAUAUACUGGGCGUAAAGCGCACGUAGGCGGCGCCGUAAGUCAGGGGUGAAAUCCCGGAGCUCAACUUCGGAACUGCCCUUGAAACUGCAGUGCUAGAAUUCUGGAGAGGCGAGUGGAAUUCCGAGUGUAGAGGUGAAAUUCGUAGAUAUUCGGAAGAACACCAGUGGCGAAGGCGGCUGACUGGUCCGGAUCUGACGCUGAGGCGCGAAAGCGUGGGGAGCAAACAGG
rnacentral:rRNA from 1 species